AACGAACGCUGGCGGCAUGCCUAACACAUGCAAGUCGAACGAGACCUUCGGGUCUAGUUGCGCACGGGUGCGUAACGCGUGGGAACCUGCCCGUAGGCUCGGAAUAACACCCCGAAGGGGGUGCUAAUACCGGAUAAUGUCCUCGGACCAAAGAUUCAUCGUCUUUGGAUGGGCCGGCGUUGGAUUAGCCAGUUGGUAGGGUAAAAGCCUACCAAGGCGUCGAUCCAUAGCUGGGCUGAGAGGAUGAUCAGCCACACUGGGGCUGGGACACGGCCCGGACUCCUGCGGGAGGCAGCAAUGCGGAAUAUUGGACGAUGGGCGAAAGCCUGAUGCAGCUAGGCCGCGAAAGUGAUGAAGGCGUGAAGGAUGUAAAGCUGUUUUACCCGGGAUGAUACUGACGGUACCGGAAGAAUAAGCUCCGGCUAACUCCGUG
rnacentral:rRNA from 1 species